CAGUCGCCGCGGGAAUACGGAGGAUCCAAGCGUUAUCCGGAAUCAUUGGGUUUAAAGGGUCCGUAGGCGGUCUUGUAAGUCAGUGGUGAAAGCACAUCGCUCAACGGUGGAACGGCCAUUGAUACUGCAGGACUUGAAUUAUUGGGAAGUAACUAGAAUAUGUAGUGUAGCGGUGAAAUGCUUAGAGAUUACAUGGAAUACCAAUUGCGAAGGCAGGUUACUACCAAUUGAUUGACGCUGAUGGACGAAAGCGUGGGUAGCGAACAGGAUUAGAUACCCCUGUAGUCCCUGUCUCUUAUAC
rnacentral:rRNA from 1 species